AUGCUCUGCCAGAACCUCCCGCGCGGAGGGAAAGGACGGGGUGAUCCUGCCGCUGCUCUCGAGCUUGGUGGGGGAGGGGGAGGAGGAGGCGGGGCGAAAUCCCGGCGACGGUGUGUGGGCUCAAGCGGCAACGACGGUACAUCCAGUGAGAGCUCGGUGUCUGGAUGGGGGCGAGGUCGGGAUGUUUCAUCGAGAGCCUCGCAGAAGAGAAAAGAAAACAGAGGAGAUAAGGCUGCGAGCGAGCGAGCGAAAAAAGAAAAGGCUGCGAGCGAGCGACCGAAAGAAAAGGCUGGAAGCGAGCGCCAGCGAGCUGGCUGGUUUCUUCUAGCCAGCCAACGUGUUAGCUGGCUAACGUGGCACAGCAUACAUCGACUGUUUUUAAAUAAAGUGCAUUCUGGAUCCUUGCGUGGAUGUUUUUAUAGUCUUUUUUUUAAGGUUAGAGCAUACGUGGAUGGAUAA
rnacentral:rRNA from 1 species